rnacentral:rRNA from 1 species
AUGGCCGCGGCAGACGACAUCGGCGCUAGUGCGGGGAGGUGGUCCCUCCACGGCAGGACGGCGCUCGUCACCGGCGGCACCCGCGGCAUCGGGCGCGCGGUUGUGGAGGAGCUGGCGGCGCUCGGAGCCGCCGUGCACACGUGCUCCCGGAAGGAAGCCGAGCUCGGCGAGCGCUUGAAGGAGUGGGAGGCCAAGGGAUUCCGCGUCACCGGCUCCGUCUGCGACGUCUCCGUGCGCGACCAGCGCGAGCUUCUCCUCCGCGACGUCGCCGACCGCUUCGCCGGCAAGCUGGACAUCCUCAUAAACAACGUGGGCAGAAACCAUAGAAAACCAACCACUGAAUACUCGGCAGAUGAAUAUUCGUUCAUAAUGGCCACUAAUCUUGAAUCUGCAUAUCAUCUAUGCCAACUUGCACACCCUCUUCUCAAAGCAUCCGGGGUGGCCAGCAUUGUCUUCAUAUCAUCAGUCUCUGGAGUGGUAGCCAUAUCUAGUGGCUCCAUUUAUGGCAUGACAAAACGUGCGAUGAAUCAGUUGGCCAAGAACCUAGCGUGUGAGUGGGCGAAAGACAACGUAAGAAUCAAUUCUGUUGCUCCAUGGUACAUCAAGACUUCACUUGUGGAAGAGGAUUUGGCGAACGAGGAUUUCGUGGAUAGCAUCGCCCGUCGAACUCCCAUGAGGCGUGUGGGAGAACCUGAAGAAGUAUCAUCGCUGGUGGCGUUUCUCUGUAUGCCCGGUUCAUCUUAUAUCACUGGCCAGACGAUCUCGGUUGAUGGCGGCAUGACUAUAAAUGGCAUGUACCCGACUGAGAACUAG